rnacentral:rRNA from 1 species
ACGUAGGUGGCAAGCGUUGUCCGGAGUUACUGGGCGUAAAGCGCACGCAGGCGGUCCGUUAAGUUUGGAGUGACAGUUGGUGGCUCAACCACCAAAGUGCUUUGAAAACUGACAGACUUGAGGGCUUCAGAGGGACACGGAAUUUCGGGUGUAGCGGUGAAAUGCGUAGAUAUCCGAAGGAACAUCAGUGGCGAAAGCGGCUUCCUGGACCAGAACUGACGAUCAGGCACGAAAGCGUGGGGAGCAAACAGGA